rnacentral:rRNA from 1 species
CCUACGGGAGGCAGCAGUGGGGAAUCUUGCGCAAUGGGCGAAAGCCUGACGCAGCAACGCCGCGUGCGGGAAGAAGGCUUUCGGGCUGUAAACCGCUUUCAGCAGGAACGAAAAUGACGGUACCUGCAGAAGAAGGAGCGGCCAACUAUGUGCCAGCAGCCGCGGUGAUACAUAGGCUUCAAGCGUUGUCCGGAUUUAUUGGGCGUAAAGAGUUCGUAGGCGGUCGAGUAAGUCGGGUGUGAAAAUUCUGGGCUCAACCCAGAGACGCCACCCGAUACUGCUUGACUUGAGUUCGAUAGGGGAGUGGGGAAUUCCUAGUGUAGCGGUGAAAUGCGCAGAUAUUAGGAGGAACACCGGUGGCGAAGGCGCCACUCUGGAUCGAUACUGACGCUGAGGAACGAAAGCAUGGGUAGCAAACAGGAUUAGAUACCCUGGUAGUCCAUGCCGUAAACGGUGGGCACUAGGUGUGGGUUUCUAUUAACGAAAUCCGCGCCGUCGCUAACGCAUUAAGUGCCCCGCCUGGGGAGUACGGUCGCAAGCUAAAACUCAAAGGAAUUGACGG